GACGAACGCUGGCGGCGUGCUUAACACAUGCAAGUCGAACGGAAAGGCCCUGCUUUUGUGGGGUGCUCGAGUGGCGAACGGGUGAGUAACACGUGAGUAACCUGCCCUUGACUUUGGGAUAACUUCAGGAAACUGGGGCUAAUACCGGAUAGGAGCUCCUGCUGCAUGGUGGGGGUUGGAAAGUUUCGGCGGUUGGGGAUGGACUCGCGGCUUAUCAGAUUGUUGGUGGGGUAGUGGCUUACCAAGGCUUUGACGGGUAGCCGGCCUGAGAGGGUGACCGGCCUCAUUGGGACUGAGAUACGGCCCAGACUCCUACGGGAGGCAGCAGUGGGGAAUAUUGCACAAUGGGCGGAAGCCUGAUGCAGCAACGCCGCGUGCGGGAUGACGGCCUUCGGGUUGUAAACCGCUUUCGCCUGUGACGAAGCGUGAGUGACGGUAAUGGGUAAAGAAGCACCGGCUAACUACGUG
rnacentral:rRNA from 1 species